CCUACGGGUGGCAGCAGUGAGGAAUAUUGGUCAAUGGUCGGGAGACUGAACCAGCCAAGCCGCGUGAGGGAUGAAGGUACAGAGUAUCGUAAACCUCUUUUGUCAGGGAACAAAGGCGGGGACGUGUCCCCGGAUGAGUGUACCUGAAGAAAAAGCAUCGGCUAACUCCGUGCCAGCAGCCGCGGUAAUAUGGAGGAUGCGAGCGUUAUCAGGAUUUAUUGGGUUAAAAGGGUGCGCAGGCGGGCUGUUACGGCAGCGGUAAAAGCCCGGGGCUCAACCCCGGCCCGCCGUUGAAACUGGCAGUCUCGAGUUGGAGAGAAGUAUGCGGAAUGCGCGGUGUAGCGGUGAAAUGCAUAGAUAUCGCGCAGAACUCCGAUUGCGAAGGCAGCAUGCCGGCUCCACACUGACGCUGAGGCACGAAAGCGUGGGUAUCGAACAGGAUUAGAUACCCCAGUAGUC
rnacentral:rRNA from 1 species